rnacentral:tRNA from 1 species
GCAGUGGUGGUCCAGUGGUAGAAUUCUCAUCUCCCGUGUGGAAGGCCUAGGUUCGAUUCCCAGCCAGUGCA